CGUAGGGGUCGAGCGUUGUCCGGAGUUACUGGGCGUAAAGCGUGCGCAGGCGGCUCAUUGCGCCCGGCGUGAAAGCCCCCGGCUCAACCGGGGAGGGUCGUCGGGGACGGGUGAGCUUGAGGGUAUCAGGGGCUGGUGGAAUUCCCGGUGUAGUGGUGAAAUGCGUAGAGAUCGGGAGGAACACCCGUGGCGAAGGCGGCCAGCUGGGAUACACCUGACGCUGAGGCACGAAGGCGUGGGGAGCGAACGGGA
rnacentral:rRNA from 1 species